GUGCUCACUUCGGCAGCACAUAUACUAAAAUUGGAAUGAUAGAACAUUAGCAUGGCCCCUGCACAAGGAUGACAUGCAAAUUCGUGAAGCAUUCCGUAUUUUU
rnacentral:snRNA from 1 species